GGAAAAACCCCGCGGUCGCCGUCUCCCGCCUCUCCCCUCCCCUCCCCUCCAGCCGGCGGCCGGCCGAGCGCGAUGGCGGCGGCGCGGCUCCGGCUGCUGUCCCUGGGCUUCCUCUCUCCGGCCGUGUCCUGGCCGCGGCACUCGUCGAGGCAGGGUCUCCGCGCGAUGUCCACGCUCUCCACGACGCUCGGGUCCGGCGCGGGGGAGGACGAGAUCGAGCGCAUCCGCCGCGAGUUCGAGGACGCCAAGCGCAACUACCUCAGUAUCCCCGUCGCCAUCAAGGACAUGCCCAAGAUGAACCCACAAGGCAUUUAUGUGAACAAGAACGUCAAGCUGGAUGACCUGCAAGUCUAUGGCUUCGACUAUGACUACACGCUGUCGCACUACUCAGAGCACCUGCAGUGCUUGAUCUACGAUCUCGCCAAGAAGCACUUGGUCAAUGAGUUGAAGUAUCCGGAGAGUUGCUUGAAGUAUGAGUAUGACCGCAGUUUUCCCAUCAGGGGGCUCUAUUAUGACAGGUUAAAAGGUUGCCUCCUGAAGCUUGAUUUCUUUGGGUCUAUCGAACCAGAUGGUUGCUUCUUUGGACGGCGUAAGCUGAAUUUGAGCGAGAUAAAAGAACUCUAUGGCACACGGCAUAUUGGCAGAGAUCAAGCUCGCCAGCUUGUUGGGCUAAUGGAUGUCUUCUGUUUUAGUGAGGCAUGCCUUAUUGCUGAUACAGUUCAGCAAUUCGUAGAUGCCAAGCUGGAGUUUGAUGCAUCUUAUGUGUAUGAAGAUGUAAACCAAUCGAUUCAGCAUGUCCACAGAAGUGGUCUGAUUCACAGGAAAAUUCUUUCAGAGCCUCAGAAAUAUCUGAUAAAAAAUAGCCAGGUCUUUCGCUUCUUGAAAAUGCUAAGAGAGAAGGAUAAAAAACUAUUUCUUCUCACCAACUCACCCUUCUACUUUGUGGAUGGAGGAAUGAGCUAUUUGCUUGAGGAUGAGCAUUUUGAUGGUAAUUCUUGGAGAGAGCUCUUUGAUGUUGUCAUUGCACAGGCCAAUAAACCAACUUUCUAUAAUUCAGACCAUCCUUUCAGGGUGUAUGACACUCAGAAGGAUACGCUAGCUUUUACUGCAGUUGACAAGUUUCUGCCGAAUGAAGUUUAUUAUCAUGGUUGCUUAAAAUCAUUUCUGCAGAUUACAAAGUGGAGAGGGCCAGAGGUUAUAUACUUUGGUGACCACCUUCUGAGUGACUUGAGAGGGCCUUCAAAAGCUGGUUGGCGAACAGCAGCUGUAAUUCGUGAACUUGAGGAUGAAAUAGAAAUCCAGAAUGGGGAAAACUAUCGGUUCCAACAGGCAAAAUUAAGUAUAAUACAUGAUCUACUUGGGAAAGUCCAUGCAACUGUGGUUAGCACUGAGAAAGGACAAGUUUACCGAGCAUUGCUUGAUGAGUUGAAUGCAGAAAGGCGUCAAUGUCGAUCUGCGAUGCGAGAUCUUUUCAAUAGUUCUUUCGGCGCAACCUUCCUUACAGAUACUGGAAGGGAAUCAUCAUUUGCUUAUCACAUCCAUCAAUAUGCAGAUAUUUACACAAGCAAGCUCGAGAACUUCUUGUCAUAUGCCCCUGAAUCAUGGCUCCAUCCACCUCACGACAUAAAGAUAAUGCCACAUAAUGCAAAGUUGUUUCAAUAACUGGUUCUUGCAAGGUACUCCUAAGAUAGAGCAAGCUAGAAGAUUUCAUUGAAACUGAACACUUGAAUUUGCCAGCGAGAUAACUCCACGACUAGAAUAAUUUCGCCUGAUUCUUCUAACAUAUCUAAGUCCCAGCGAGUUUGUUCAGUGGAUCAUAGCUUACUCUAUCCAUUUCCGCUGGAGAACUGUAAUAUCCUUUAUGGUCUGUCUGCACGACUUCGAGAGAUUGAGCUGCCAUUCCACUUCAUCUGGUUAGCUGAUGAAUAAAGCUUGACAAGGCAGGACACGCCCAGCCGAACAUUCGUGGUGCCAGCUCAGCAACAUGUGGUUAUUCCCGCUAACUGACAGGAGAGAAGGGAUGGUGGUUGUGUUCUGUUGCGUUGCUUGAAGAUGAUUUCGAUCUGACAUUCCAAAAGAAUCCUUCUGAUGUAUGAACAUCUCUAACUUGGAAAAUAUCUGCAGAACAUUAGUCCCUUACUUCCAGCUGCAUGUGCUUUUAGCUAUGUCAAGAGGACCUGCAAGAAGUUGACAAAAACUUGACCAAAUUAUUCAGAUACUUAAAAGUGCUCAAUCUUAAUGAAAUUUGGUCGUCCAAUCUUUGGCCGGCCCAGCAAAA